CAAAUCCGGUUGAUCCUGCCGGACCCUACUGCUAUCGGGGGAGGACUAAGACAUGUUAGUUGUGCGCCUCCAAGCUAUGAUGGAGACGCGGCAUACGGCUCAGUAACACGUGGCUAACCCACCCUUGAGACGAAGAAAACCCCGGGAAACUGGGGGUAAUCCUCGAUAGAAGAAGACACCUGGAAGGGGUCUCCUUCCAAAAGGCGUCUAGAUCAUGCUUCUGGACGUUGCUCAAGGACGGGGCCGCGGCCGAUCAGGUUGUUGGUGAGGUAACGGCUCACCAAGCCUAUAACCGGUACGGGCCGUGAGAGCGGGAGCCCGGAGAUGGGCACUGAGACAAGGGCCCAGGCCCUACGGGGCGCAGCAGUUGCGAAAACUCCGCAAUGCGCGAAAGCGUGACGGGGCUACCCCGAGUGCCGUCCGCUGAGGACGGCUUUUCCACGGUGUAAGGAGCCGUGGGAAUAAGGAGAGGGCAAGUCUGGUGUCAGCCGCCGCGGUAAUACCAGCUCUCCGAGUGGUAGGGAUGAUUAUUGGGCUUAAAGCGUCCGUAGCCGGCCUGACAAGUCUUCCGUUAAAUCCACCGAUUCAAUCGCUGGACUGCGGGGGAUACUGUUGGGCUAGGGGGCGGGAGAGGCCGACGGUAUUCUCGGGGUAGGGGUGAAAUCCUAUAAUCCCGGGAGGACCACCAGUGGCGAAGGCGGUCGGCUAGAACGCGCUCGACGGUGAGGGACGAAAGCUGGGG
rnacentral:rRNA from 2 species